rnacentral:lncRNA from 1 species
UCAGACUUAAUUUUGUAAGCCUAAAGAGAUUACUUUCAAUAGAUAUGUGGGAUGUCUUUUCAAGCCUACUUUAUUAAUUGUGUUUAAGGCUAGUGAGGUUUGUGUCACCCAACUUCUAGGGCCAAUGCAUGAUCAAUACAACCAUUUGACCCAGUGUUUUUUUUUGAUAGGCAAUAAAAUUUAUUGAUAUGGUAAAAAAAACAAUAUACCAAAGUACAUAGGAUGUCUACAACGGGUGCCAAAUGGCAAUGCCAAAAUAUGGAGAAUGCAAAAAUUAACCGUCUCUUUCAGCAUGAUCUCAACAAAAUCUACAAAAUCAAUCAGAGGCAUUGAGCCUUCUUUGAUGUAGAACCUAAUCCAUACUAAAAGAUUACUUAGGAAUGAACAUUUCAAUUUUUGAUCAUAUUGUUCAUGUUUUUUUUAAUGUUUUUUGAUUUCUUUCCUUCCAAAUCAUCAAAAAAGGGGGAAAAAGCAUGGAGGAGCAGCUCUCUAUACCUUCUUCUGUUUCCUUCCCAUAAAGAUCCAUGCCAACUUGGAAAAAUCUCUUUGACUCUGGAAAGGAGUACCCAAAUUACGCCAAAUAAGGAGAAUCACAACUAUCACAAGGCCCUUGAUUUAGCACAAUGAAGGAAUGUGAUCAAUUGAUUCCUCUUUGUCUUUAUAGAGAAAAUAUUUAUUUGCUGCCUCUGAAGUUGAGCUAACAUCAAUACAUUUCCCCAAUUGGCUUCCCAAGCAAAAAGGUUUGUUU